AAUGAACGCUGGCGGCAUGCCUUACACAUGCAAGUCGAACGGCAGCAUGACCUAGCUUGCUAGGUUGAUGGCGAGUGGCGAACGGGUGAGUAAUGCAUCGGAACGUGCCUUUUAGUGGGGGAUAACGUAGCGAAAGUUACGCUAAUACCGCAUAUUCUCUGAGGAGGAAAGCAGGGGGCCUUCGGGCCUUGCGCUAGAAGAGCGGCCGAUGUCGGAUUAGCUAGUUGGUGAGGUAAAGGCUCACCAAGGCAACGAUCCGUAGCGGGUCUGAGAGGAUGAUCCGCCACACUGGGACUGAGACACGGCCCAGACUCCUACGGGAGGCAGCAGUGGGGAAUUUUGGACAAUGGGCGCAAGCCUGAUCCAGCCAUGCCGCGCGAGUGAAGAAGGCCUUCGGGUUGUAAAGCUCUUUCGGCUGGGAAGAAAUCGCACUCUCUAAUACAGGGUGUGGAUGACGGUACCAGCAUAAGAAGCACCGGCUAACUACGUG
rnacentral:rRNA from 1 species